AAACUUUUCAGCUAGAGUAUGAUAGAGGAAAGCAGAAUUUCUAGUGUAGAGGUGAAAUUCGUAGAUAUUAGAAAGAAUACCAAUUGCGAAGGCAGCUUUCUGGAUCAUUACUGACACUGAGGAACGAAAGCAUGGGUAGCGAAGAGGAUUAGAUACCCUCGUAGUCCAUGCCGUAAACGAUGUGUGUUAGACGUUGGAAAUUUAUUUUCAGUGUCGCAGCGAAAGCGAUAAACACACCGCCUGGGGAGUACGACCGCAAGGUUAAAACUCAAAUGAAUUGACGGGGACCCGCACAAGUAGUGGAGCAUGUGGUUUAAUUCGAAGAUACGCGCAGAACCUUACCAACACUUGACAUGUUCGUCGCGACUUUAAGAGAUUAAAGUUUUCGGUUCGGCCGGACGAAACACAGGUGCUGCAUGGCUGUCGUCAGCUCGUGUCGUGAGAUGUUGGGUUAAGUCCCGCAACGAGCGCAACCCUCACUUUUAGUUGCCAUCAUUAAGUUGGGCACUCUGAAAGAACUGCCAGUGAUAAGCUGGAGGAAGGUGGGGAUGACGUCAAGUCCUCAUGGCCCUUACGUGUUGGGCUACACACGUGCUACAAUGGUAUCUACAACAGGAAGCAAGACGGCGACGUUAAGCAAAUCCUUAAAAGAUACCUCAGUUCGGAUUGCACUCUGCAACUCGAGUGCAUGAAGCUGGAAUUACUAGUAAUCGUGGAUCAGCGUGCCACGGUGAAUGCGUUCCCGGGUCUUGUACACACCGCCCGUCACACCAUGGGAGUUGGUUCUACCUUAAGGCAAGGUUUUAAACCCUUGACCACGGUAUAGUCAGCGACUGGGGUGAAGUCGUAACAAGGUAGCCGUA
rnacentral:rRNA from 1 species